rnacentral:rRNA from 1 species
UUUAUGGAGAGUUUGAUCCUGGCUCAGGAUGAACGCUGGCGGCGUGCCUAAUACAUGCAAGUCGAGCGAACGGACGAGAAGCUUGCUUCUCUGAUGUUAGCGGCGGACGGGUGAGUAACACGUGGAUAACCUACCUAUAAGACUGGGAUAACUUCGGGAAACCGUAGCUAAUACCGGAUAAUAUUUUGAACCGCAUGGUUCAAAAGUGAAAGACGGUCUUGCUGUCACUUAUAGAUGGAUCCGCGCUGCAUUAGCUAGUUGGUAAGGUAACGGCUUACCAAGGCAACGAUGCAUAGCCGACCUGAGAGGGUGAUCGGCCACACUGGAACUGAGACACGGUCCAGACUCCUACGGGAGGCAGCAGUAGGGAAUCUUCCGCAAUGGGCGAAAGCCUGACGGAGCAACGCCGCGUGAGUGAUGAAGGUCUUCGGAUCGUAAAACUCUGUUAUUAGGGAAGAACAUAUGUGUAAGUAACUGUGCACAUCUUGACGGUACCUAAUCAGAAAGCCACGGCUAACUACGUGCCAGCAGCCGCGGUAAUACGUAGGUGGCAAGCGUUAUCCGGAAUUAUUGGGCGUAAAGCGCGCGUAGGCGGUUUUUUAAGUCUGAUGUGAAAGCCCACGGCUCAACCGUGGAGGGUCAUUGGAAACUGGAAAACUUGAGUGCAGAAGAGGAAAGUGGAAUUCCAUGUGUAGCGGUGAAAUGCGCAGAGAUAUGGAGGAACACCAGUGGCGAAGGCGACUUUCUGGUCUGUAACUGACGCUGAUGUGCGAAAGCGUGGGGAUCAAACAGGAUUAGAUACCCUGGUAGUCCACGCCGUAAACGAUGAGUGCUAAGUGUUAGGGGGUUUCCGCCCCUUAGUGCUGCAGCUAACGCAUUAAGCACUCCGCCUGGGGAGUACGACCGCAAGGUUGAAACUCAAAGGAAUUGACGGGGACCCGCACAAGCGGUGGAGCAUGUGGUUUAAUUCGAAGCAACGCGAAGAACCUUACCAAAUCUUGACAUCCUUUGACAACUCUAGAGAUAGAGCCUUCCCCUUCGGGGGACAAAGUGACAGGUGGUGCAUGGUUGUCGUCAGCUCGUGUCGUGAGAUGUUGGGUUAAGUCCCGCAACGAGCGCAACCCUUAAGCUUAGUUGCCAUCAUUAAGUUGGGCACUCUAAGUUGACUGCCGGUGACAAACCGGAGGAAGGUGGGGAUGACGUCAAAUCAUCAUGCCCCUUAUGAUUUGGGCUACACACGUGUUACAAUGGACAAUACAAAGGGCAGCGAAACCGCGAGGUCAAGCAAAUCCCAUAAAGUUGUUCUCAGUUCGGAUUGUAGUCUGCAACUCGACUACAUGAAGCUGGAAUCGCUAGUAAUCGUAGAUCAGCAUGCUACGGUGAAUACGUUCCCGGGUCUUGUACACACCGCCCGUCACACCACGAGAGUUUGUAACACCCGAAGCCGGUGGAGUAACCUUUUAGGAGCUAGCCGUCGAAGGUGGGACAAAUGAUUGGGGUGAAGUCGUAACAAGGUAGCCGUAUCGGAAGGUGCGGCUGGAUCACCUCCUUUCU